CCAGACUCCUACGGGAGGCAGCAGUGAGGAAUAUUGGUCAAUGGCCGAGAGGCUGAACCAGCCAAGUCGCGUGAGGGAUGACGGCCCUACGGGUUGUAAACCUCUUUUGUCGGGGAGCAAAGAGAGUCACGUGUGGCUCAUUGAGAGUACCCGAAGAAAAAGCAUCGGCUAACUCCGUGCCAGCAGCCGCGGUAAUACGGAGGAUGCGAGCGUUAUCCGGAUUUAUUGGGUUUAAAGGGUGCGCAGGCGGGGGUGCAAGUCAGUGGUCAAAUUGCGGGGCUCAACCCCGUCGUGCCGUUGAAACUGAUGUUCUUGAGUUGGCGAGAAGUAUUCGGAAUGCGUAGGGUAGCGGUGAAAUUCAUAGAUAUCACGCAGAACUCCGAUUGCGGAGGCAGCAUACCGGCGCCCAACUGACGCUGAAGCACGAAAGCGUGGGUAUCGAACAGGAUUAGAUACCCGCGUAC
rnacentral:rRNA from 1 species